rnacentral:lncRNA from 7 species
GAAGAGCGUCUUUCCUUCAGCUACCCAGGCAUGAGGAUGCAGACAUUUGCCACCAGACUGUUUCUGAAGGUGUGCCAACAGCCACAGCCCAGAGAGCCCUGGGAGCAACGUUAGAGCUUGUAGGAGCAUCCCCGAUGCCAACGUGUGACCUUGCUAAGGGCUGCAGUUAAUGCAGAUUCAACAAAUAAAUAAACAUUUGCAAUAGGUUCGGUACGUGACUUCAUCCCAACGGUGAUCACUAACAGAAUUAUUGACCUGACCGUUUGCUGCUGGAGAAUUUUGGAAAUGCCAGGUUCAUUACAGCCCUGCUUAUUGCCAGGAAGCAUUACAGCUUUGUGCUCGCAGCAGCUUUAAAGGCAGAUGAAAGCCAUAACGCCGGGUCACCCCAGAGACACACCAAGUGCAUCAUCUCAGGCUGCAGAAGCUCUGUUCCCUUCCCUGUUAUGGGGAAGAGCACUCCACCCCACCCAGGUCUUUCCGGCCAAGCAACCCGCAGAUGCUACAGCCGGAAUGUUGUAGGCUUCACACAUUUGUCUCAAGCACAAAAAGUGACAGCAUCGGCGCCCUCAGCAAUCACACCCAGAGUUUGCUGAGCUUCUUUUGGGGCUGAGAUCAGAACACCGGAGUGGGAUGAGCCACCAUGGCCAUUGCUGGGGUUUGGGACCCAGUGUGCACCUCACUGUUCUCUCCAAGCAGAGAAAUGGUUGUGCUGUGGCUGGCAGACACUGCGUUUCACUUCAGAGUGGAGCCAUGCUUCUGGGUUCCUUCAAUAACAAAAGCAAGCUGAAAAUAAAUGCCAAAACGUAGGACAAUUAUCACACAAUUAAUUUCAGUCCUGUCACCGUAACAUUCUGUUUGACCUUAUUCAUUGUUACUUGAUCUUCAGCUCGUUAAUAUUUCAGGUGACCUUUGGGGCUGGGAAGAAGCUGCAGUUUCCCACUAGCAUCCAUGAGUCAACACGAGCAUCAAGUCACAGCAGCACGCCGAACCUCAUUUAUCAUUCCAUUUAAGGUGUCAGCAGAGCCAUUAUUCAAAUGAAUGGCCACGCAUGCAAUCAAUCUUUAAUGAAACAAUAAUUGCACCUUCCACUCUGCAAGACCUCUGCCUUUCUUAAAGGUAUCCUGUGUAUUAAUUAUUGAAAAUGUCUGUGUUUUACCAGCAGUAAGUUAUGUUUCACCAAUUGCCAUCUUUCAAGAGAGUUUUAACUGGGAAAUUUAUGACUCUCGAUUUCGCUAAGGAAAAAAUAAACAGCAGAUACUGUU